rnacentral:rRNA from 1 species
UACAGAGGGGGCAAGCGUUGUUCGGAAUUACUGGGCGUAAAGGGCGCGUAGGCGGCCUUCUAAGUCGAACGUGAAAUCCCUGGGCUCAACCCAGGAACUGCGUCCGAUACUGGUUGGCUUGAAUCCGGGAGAGGGAUGUGGAAUUCCAGGUGUAGCGGUGAAAUGCGUAGAUAUCUGGAGGAACACCGGUGGCGAAGGCGGUUCUCUGGGCCAUCACUGACGCUGAGCUGCGAAAGCUAGGGGAGCAAACAGG